rnacentral:rRNA from 1 species
UACGUAGGGUGCGAGCGUUGUCCGGAAUUAUUGGGCGUAAAGGGCUCGUAGGCGGUUUGUCGCGUCGGGAGUGAAAACCUCGGGCUUAACCCUGGGCUUGCAGUGGAUACGGGCAGACUAGAGGUAGGUAGGGGAGACUGGAAUUCCUGGUGUAGCGGUGAAGUGCGCAGAUAUCAGGAGGAACACCGGUGGCGAAGGCGGGUCUCUGGGCCGAUACUGACGCUGAGGAGCGAAAGCGUGGGGAGCGAACAGG